rnacentral:rRNA from 1 species
UACGUAGGGGGCGAGCGUUGUCCGAAGUACUGGGCGUAAAGCGCGCGUAGGCGGGCUUGUAAGUUGGAUGUGAAAUCUCCACGGCUCAACCGGGAAACCGCAUCCAAAACUGCAAGCCUUGAGGUAUGGAGAGGGAAGUGGAAUUCCUGGUGUGAGCGGUGAAAUGCGUAGAUAUCAGGAGGAACACCCGUGGCGAAGGCGGCUUCCUGGCCAUAUCCUGACGCUGAGGUGCGGAAAGCCAGGGGAGCGAACGGG